AAACAAGUAUGAAAGGGCGUACGGUGGAUGCCUAGGCUCUUACAGGCGAUGAAGGACGUGAUAAGCUGCGACAAGCCGCGGGGAGGUGCAAAUGACCCUUGAUCCGCGGAUCUCCGAAUGGGACAACCCGGCAUGCUGAAGGCAUGUCACACUGCUAUGCAGUGAGCGAACGCAGGGAACUGAAACAUCUUAGUACCUGCAGGAAGAGAAAAUAACAAUGAUUCCCCCAGUAGUGGCGAGCGAACGGGGAAGAGCCCAAACCGCGGGGGUUCCGGCCUCCGCGGGGUUGUAGGACCGCGAUACGGCAUGACAGAUGGCGAGAGGAAGUGCCUGGAAAGGCACGCCGGAGAGGGUGACAGCCCCGUACCCGAAGCCGUCCUAAGCCCAGCGGUAUCCUGAGUAGCGCGGGACACGAGAAAUCCUGUGUGAAUCCGGCGGGCCCAUCCGCCAAGGCUAAAUACUCGUAAGAGACCGAUAGCGAACCAGUACCGUGAGGGAAAGGUGAAAAGCACUUCGACGAGAAGAGUGAAAAAGUUCCUGAAACCGUACGCCUACAAGCGGUCGGAGCAGCUUCGUGCUGUGACGGCGUGCCUUUUGCAUAAUGAACCUACGAGUUGCCGUCACCGGCAAGGUUAAGCGCAACGAUGCGCGUAUCCGAAGCGAAAGCGAGUCUUAACAGGGCGGCUAGUCAGUGGCGGCAGACGCGAAACCGAGUGAUCUACCCUUGUCCAGGUUGAAGUCCGGGUAACACCGGAUGGAGGACCGAACCGAUAAGCGUUGAAAAGCUUCCGGAUGAGGUGAGGGUAGGAGUGAAAGGCCAAUCAAACUCGGAGAUAGCUCGUACUCCCCGAAAUGCAUUUAGGUGCAGCCUCGGCUGUUCCCUUCCAGAGGUAGAGCGACUGAUCGGAUGCGAGGGCUUCACCGCCUAUCAAGUCCGGACAAACUCCGAAUGCUGGAAGGCCACAGGCC
rnacentral:rRNA from 1 species